AUGACACUGUUUUACCUAAAAAAAAGAGAUGAAAAUUCAAGUGCUCAGGCUUUGGUUGAGAGAAUGUGUCUGGAGGGGGGAGCUGGAGGUGGAGGGGGAGCUGGAGGGAGGGGGUGGAGGGGAGGGGGAGGAGGAGGUGGAGGGGGAGGGUGGAGCUGGAGGUGGAGGGGGAGCUGGAGGGAGGGGGGAGGGUGGAGGAGGAGGGGAGGGUGGAGCUGGAGGUGGAGGGGGGGAGGAGGUGGAAGGGUGGAGCUGGAGGUGGAGGGUGGAGGGGGGAGGUGGAGGGGGGAGCUGGAGGGAGGGGGAGGGGGAGGGUGGAGGUGGAGGAGGAGGUGGAGGGGAGGUGGAGCUGGAGGGAGGGGGAGGGGGUGGAGGUGGGAGGAGGAGGGGGAGGGUGGAGCUGGGGGGAGGGUGGAGGGGGAGGUGGAGGAGGUGGAGGAGGAGGGGGAGGGGGGAGGAGGAGGAGGUGGAGGGGGAGGGUGGAGCUGGAGGUGGAGGGGAGGUGGAGGAGGUGGUGGAGGGGGAGGGUGGAGGGGGGAGGAGGAGGUGGAGGGGGGAGGUGGAGGAGGAGGGGGGAGGGGGGGGGGAGGAGGUGGAGGAGGGUGGAGCUGGAGGUGGAGGUGGUGGAGGGGGGAGGAGGAGGAGGUGGAGGGGGAGGAAGGGGGAUGGAGGGGGGUGGAGGUGGAGGGGGAGGAGGAGGAGGAGGUGGAGGGGGAGGAGGAGGAGGGUGGAGGGGGAGGAGGAGGAGGGGGGAGGUGGAGGAGGAGGGGGAGGAAGGUAGGGGGGUGGAGGGGGGAGGAGGAGGUGGAGGGUGGAGGGGGGGGAGGAGGAGGUGGAGGGGGAGGAGGAGGGGAGGUGGAGGAGGUGGAGGAGGAGGAGGAGGAGGAGGGUGGAGGGGGGAGGAGGAGGAGGGUGGAGGAGGAGGGUGGAAGGGUGGAGGAGGAGGUAGGGGGGUGGAGGGGGAGGAGGAGGUGGAGGGGGAGGUGGAGGGGGGGUGGAGGUGGGGGGAGGGGGGGGAGGAGGAGGUGGAGGAGGUGGAGGGGGAGGAGGAGGAGGAGGUGGAGGGGGAAGGAGGAGGAGGGGGAUGGAGGAGGAGGGUGGAGGGGGGGGAGGAGGAGGUGGAGGGGGAGGGUGGAAGGAGGUGGAGGGGGGGGGGUGGAGGGUGGAGGUGGAGGGGGAGGAGGAGGGGAGGUAGGGGGGAGGAGGAGGAGGAGGGGGAGGUGGAGGAGGAGGGGGUAA
rnacentral:lncRNA from 1 species